AACGCACAUUGCGCCCUUUGGUAUUCCGAAGGGCAUGCCUGUUCGAGCGUCAUUAUCACCGCUCAAGCCCUCGGCUUGGUGUUGGACGGUUUGGUGGAGGCCCCCUCGGGGGCUCCUGCCCCUCCCAAAGACAAUGACGGCGGCCUCGUUGGACCCCCGGUACACUGAGUUCUUCACGGGACACGUAUCGGACACAUGGGUUUACGGGACACGGUCUGCCUCCCCUCAGGGAGAAUCUUUCUAAGGUUGACCUCGGAUCAGGUAGGGAUACCCGCUGAACUUAA
rnacentral:misc_RNA from 1 species